rnacentral:rRNA from 1 species
UACGUAGGGUGCGAGCGUUAAUCGGAAUUACUGGGCGUAAAGCGUGCGCAGGCGGUUAUGCAAGACAGAUGUGAAGUCCCCGGGCUUAACCUGGGAACUGCAUUUGUGACUGCAUAGCUGGAGUGCGGCAGAGGGGGAUGGAAUUCCGCGUGUAGCAGUGAAAUGCGUAGAUAUGCGGAGGAACACCGAUGGCGAAGGCAAUCCCCUGGGCCUGCACUGACGCUCAUGCACGAAAGCGUGGGGAGCAAACAGG